rnacentral:rRNA from 1 species
CGAUACGUGUAUCGGGCUGAAAGUACUGUACGAAUAAGGAUCGGCUAACUCCGUGCCAGCAGCCGCGGUAAUACGGAGGAUCCAAGCGUUAUCCGGAUUUAUUGGGUUUAAAGGGUGCGUAGGCGGAAUAGUAAGUUAGAGGUGAAAGCUCGGGGCUCAACUCCGGAACUGCCUCUGAUACUGCUAAUCUAGAGAGUAGAUGCGGUAGGCGGAAUGUAUGGUGUAGCGGUGAAAUGCUUAGAGAUCAUACAGAACACCGAUUGCGAAGGCAGCUUACCAAACUAUAUCUGACGUUGAGGCACGAAAGCGUGGGGAGCAAACAGGCUUAGAUACCCUGGUAGUCCACGCAGUAAACGAUGAUAGCUCGUUAUCGGCGAUACACAGUCGGUGACUUAGAGAAAUCGAUAAGCUAUCCACCUGGGGAGUACGUUCGCAAGAAUGAAACUCAAAGGAAUUGACGGGGGCCCGCACAAGCGGAGGAACAUGUGGUUUAAUUCGAUGAUACGCGAGGAACCUUACCCGGGCUUGAAAGUUAGUGACGGACUUGGAAACAGGUCUUCCCUUCGGGGCACGAAACUAGGUGCUGCAUGGUUGUCGUCAGCUCGUGCCGUGAGGUGUCGGGUUAAGUCCCAUAACGAGCGCAACCCCUGCUGAUAGUUGCCAUCAGGUUAAGCUGGGCACUCUAUCGGGACUGCCUCUGUAAGGAGGAGGAGGGUGGGGAUGACGUCAAAUCAGCACGGCCCUUACGUCCGGGGCGACACACGUGUUACAAUGGUAGGUACAGAGGGCAGCCACCCAGCGAUGGGGAGCAAAUCUSGAAAGCMUAUUUCAGCUGGGA